rnacentral:rRNA from 1 species
AUUGAACGCUGGCGGCAUGCUUUACACAUGCAAGUCGAGCGGCAGCGGGGGCUUCGGCCUGCCGGCGAGCGGCGAACGGGUGAGUAAUGCAUCGGAACGUACCCAGUGGCGGGGGAUAGCUCGGCGAAAGCCGGAUUAAUACCGCAUACGCCCUGAGGGGGAAAGUGGGGGAUCUUCGGACCUCACACCAUUGGAGCGGCCGAUGUCGGAUUAGCUAGUUGGUGGGGUAAAGGCUCACCAAGGCGACGAUCCGUAGCUGGUCUGAGAGGAUGAUCAGCCACACUGGGACUGAGACACGGCCCAGACUCCUACGGGAGGCAGCAGUGGGGAAUUUUGGACAAUGGGCGCAAGCCUGAUCCAGCCAUGCCGCGUGAGUGAAGAAGGCCUUCGGGUUGUAAAGCUCUUUCAGUCGGGAAGAAAAGGCGUUCUCUAACAUAGGGCGUCGAUGACGGUACCGACAGAAGAAGCACCGGCUAACUACGU